rnacentral:rRNA from 1 species
UACGGAAGGGGGCUAGCGUUGUUCGGAAUUACUGGGCGUAAAGCGUGCGCAGGCGGCUUCUCAAGAUCCAGGGGGUGAAAGCCCAGAGCUCAACUCUGGAAUUGCCUUUGAGACUGAGUGGCUUGAGUACGAGAGAGGUGAGUGGAAUUCCCAGUGUAGAGGUGAAAUUCGUAGGAUAUUGGGAAGAACACCGGUGGCGAAGGCGGCUCACUGGUCUCGUAACUGACGCGUCA